CAUCGUUUUGAAGCAACGCGAGCAAUGUGAUCGGUGGUUUGUCGACGUGAUGACGUCAGAUCACGAAGCAUAGAGUCGAGAAUGCGUUUUAAAGCUGAGUAGGGCGUGAAAUCGUUCAUUUUGUCGUGCGUCGGAUGAAAGUAUGGGCGAGUAGUAGUAUAAACGAGUGGCUGUUGUUUUAUUCACGGGAUAAUUAUGCUUGGUGUUGUUUUAACGUGAUUGACGUAAUUGAAUAGUGUACCAUGUUCCGCUGCAUUCCAAUUUUUAAAGGGUGUAACAGGCAGGUGGAAUACGUUGACAAGCGUCAUUGCUCUCUGCCGUGUGUUCCUGAUGACAUCCUGCGAUAUUCGAGGAGUUUGGAGGAGCUUCUACUAGAUGCCAAUCAUAUCCGUGAUCUACCAAAAAAUUUCUUUCGACUUCAGAGGCUACGAAAACUUGGUUUGAGCGAUAAUGAGAUACAUCGUUUACCACCGGACAUCCAGAAUUUUGAAAACCUCGUCGAGUUGGACGUGUCCAGAAAUGAUAUACCAGAUAUCCCUGAAAAUAUCAAGAAUUUACAAGCGCUGCAGGUGGCAGAUUUUAGCAGUAAUCCCAUUCCAAGGCUUCCAGCAGGAUUCGUACAGCUAAGAAAUUUAACUGUACUUGGACUUAAUGAUAUGUCUCUUACAAACUUGCCACCUGAUUUUGGAAGCUUGGAGGCACUACAGUCACUGGAAUUAAGAGAAAAUUUGCUCAAAUUCUUGCCUGAAUCGCUCUCCCAACUUUUAAAACUCGAACGGUUGGAUCUCGGUGACAAUGAGAUCGAAGAAUUGCCUGCACAUGUAGGACAAUUACCAGCACUACAAGAAUUGUGGCUCGAUCACAAUCAAUUGCAACAUUUGCCACCUGAAAUUGGUCAAUUAAAAACACUAGCAUGUUUAGAUGUUUCGGAAAAUCGUUUAGAGGAUUUGCCUGACGAAAUUGGUGGUUUAGAAUCAUUGACGGACUUGCAUUUAUCACAGAAUGUUAUUGAAAAGUUACCUGAUGGAUUGGGUGAAUUGAAAAAGUUAACUAUUUUUAAAAUAGAUCAAAAUAGACUUUCUACUUUAAAUCCAAAUAUAGGAAGAUGCGAAAAUUUGCAAGAGUUAAUUCUUACAGAGAAUUUUCUUUUAGAACUACCACUAUCUAUAGGCAAACUUAACAAUUUAAAUAAUUUGAAUGUUGACAGAAAUAGCUUACAAUCUUUACCGAUAGAAAUUGGAAAUUUGAAAAAGUUGGGUGUGUUAUCUUUAAGAGAUAAUAAGUUACAAUAUCUCCCAAUUGAAGUGGGACAAUGUACUGCUCUUCAUGUUCUAGAUGUAUCUGGCAACAGAUUACACUAUUUACCAUAUUCCUUAAUCAACCUGAAUUUGAAAGCAGUGUGGUUAAGCGAAAAUCAAGCGCAACCAAUGCUAACGUUUCAAACAGAUAUUGAUGAAGAAACUGGACAAGAAGUACUAACGUGUUUUCUUUUGCCGCAAUUGGAAUUUCAUCCUGAUGAUUCAGGUAGGCUAGGAAUGUUAGUUGGUAUGAGAAAUGUUCAAGGUUGUGAAAUGCGUGAACUAACAAGUAGUGAUGAUGAAGGUUGGCAAGAAAGAGAAGCCUCUAGAACGCAUUCCGUAAAAUUUACUGAUGAACCACCAGAAACCGAUAAAGAGAUUCCAUUUAUACGUCAAAAUACACCACAUCCAAAAGAAUUAAAAGCUAAAGCGCAUAAGUUAUUUAGCAAAGGAAAAAAUGAAAGUCGAUCUGAAUCUACAGAUGAACAGGAUGUUUCUCAAACAUUUGGUUUAAAUAAAACAGAAUCAGAACUACCAAUUAAUUCAGCAGACAUACCACAAUGUGUUUCUGAACAGGAGGAAUAUGUAGAAUGCAAUAUGACACAAAAUGAUCAUAAAGUGACAGCACUUGGCAUUGAAGCUGAUAGUACAGAUAAUCAACUUAACAAAGAAGCAGAUCUUCUCAUUCAAUCUGCUGCAGAACUUUAUGUCAAUGCAGGAACUGAAAAUUCCAUCUCAGAAUUAAAAGAACAAGAUGAAGAAGAAUCUGAAAAUGAAGAUGUGCAAAGACAUGUUGAAUUUAAUGUUGUAGACGCAAAUAACGAAGAUGUUUGUGAUUUAAAUAAACCUAAUAAACUUCAACGUAGAGACACUCCACAUCAUCUGAAAAAUAAACGCAUUCACACAGCAGUUGAUAAAGAAAAAGUUGCUUCUAUUAUUGCACAGGCACUUAUGAAAAAAGUUGAUGAUACUUCAGCACCUUUGCCAUCACAAGUAGAUUCUAUGGAAACAUUCGACACGCAUAGUCAAGAUGCAAUAUCCGAUAUUGAACCAGCAUUGGAAAUACGAGAAGAACAAUAUGAAAUUCAUAUUGAAAGAACGACAGGUGGAUUAGGUUUGUCAAUAGCUGGUGGUAUUGGAUCGACGCCUUUUAAAGGUGAUGAUGAAGGCAUUUUUAUUUCAAGAGUUACUGAAGGUGGACCUGCAGAUUUGGCUGGUUUGAGAAUAGGAGACAAAGUAAUAUCUGUAAAUGGAGUAUCAGUAGUAAAUGUAGAUCAUUACGAUGCUGUAGAAGUAUUGAAAGCAUGUGGACGUGUACUUGUGUUAGUUGUCAUAAGGGAAGUCACAAGGAUAAUUCCGCCGUAUGAACAGGCGUCAAUGAGAAAAGAUUCCGCAUGCUCUAGUUUAAGUACAAGUAGAGCACCAAGUGCAACAUCUUAUGUUUCAUCUACAGCAUUGUCACAUACUUUAGAAAAUGGCGAUACAUCUGGAUCUCAUGAAACUGCAAAGAUAAAAAAGGUCUCCGAGCAUAUAACAACUGUAAGAGAUAAUGAACCUAUGGUACCUGUUCUCUUUCACACAACAUUAAUACGAGAUCAAAAUGGGCUUGGAUUCAGUAUUGCCGGUGGAGAAGGUUCGCAACCAUUUAAAGAUAAUAGCGAUGCAAUUUUUAUCUCGAGAAUAACAGAUGGUGGAGUUGCCCAAAAAGAUGGUAAAUUAUUAGUUGGAGACAAAGUAAUAUCUAUUAAUGGAGUAGAUAUGAGAGGAGCGAAACAUGAACAAGCAGUAGCUUUACUUACAGGCUUAGAAAGAUUUGUUCGAUUAGUAGUCGAACGGGAAAUACCGCUUUCUCAAGCAAAUCUUGCUACUGUUGUAACUCCAUCUGAAAAGCCGUCACGUGUUAUAGGUGCACCUAAACCUUAUACAGGCCUGUAUAAUGCUAAUAGUUACAUGGCAAAUAGGCCUGGAUACGGUGGCUAUCGUUGCUCCAUGGAUGUUGACAAAGCAUUGACACCGAGUCCUACUUCGAAAACGCCACCACCAGCAUUACCUGUGAAAUCUGAUGUUAGUGAGGCGCUUAAAAUGAAUGGUGUAACUGAUUCGGAAAAUGCUCUGAAGAAUGUUUCAUCAAUGUCUCCUAGUCCGACAAAUAAUCAAACGUAUCCACAGCCAGCUCCAAGAUAUGGUGUUUCGCAGACGACAUCUACAAAUAAUAUUGGUUCUGCAGUUCCAAUUCCUCAUGCGGAAUCUAUACCGGCAUCUUCGCAGGAAGACAUACAGGUACCGAAGCCAAUCACCAACGAGGAAUUUCAAGCUAUGAUCCCUGCUCAUUUCCUUCGACCUCCAACAUCCUCACCUUCACCAGACUCCCAUCAAGGCCCAAUUGUGACAGUGACGAUAAAGCAACCCGAUACUUUGCCUGGAGAUGUUAGCUUUCCUCCAGCUCCUACCACACUCGGUAAAGUUACUGAGAUCAUCACAAAGAGUACGCUCACCGAAACCGUCGUAACUAGAGUGACUGACAACCAAUUGGUGCAACCAUUUAUUAUUGAGGAUGUUGUGCUUGUCAAAGAAGGUUCCUUAGGGUUCAGUAUCAUAGGAGGAACCGAUCAUUCGUGUACACCAUUUGGUGCAAAGGAACCGGGAAUUUUUAUAUCUCACGUUGUUCCUGGUGGCAUAGCAGAUAAAUCUGGUAAAUUAAGAAUGGGUGAUAGAAUAUUGAAAGUAAAUGGUACAGAUGUGACGAAGGCUACACAUCAAGAAGCAGUAAUGGAACUUCUAAGACCGGGUGAUCAGAUCGUGCUUACCAUUCAACAUGAUCCACUUCCAGAAAGUUAUCAGCUGGUCGAAAUAGAGUACAUCCCUGUGACAGAAUUAGUAAUAACAAAGGAAGUAGGCGAAAAGCUUGGUAUGCAUAUUAAAGGAGGACGCAGAGGACAAAAAGGCAAUCCUUUAGAUCAUACUGAUGAGGGUGUUUUUAUAUCGAAAAUUAAUUCAGGUGGUGCAGCUAAGAGAGAUGGACGGUUAAAGGUUGGAAUGAGGUUAUUGGAAGUCAAUGGCACAUCAUUAUUAGGUGCGACUCAUCAAGAAGCUGUCAACAUUCUUCGUUGCUCAGGGAAUACUAUUACGCUGGUUGUAUGUAAGGGUUAUGAUAAAAAUGAAGUUGAAUCUACAUUAACAUUAUCCGAUAACAGAGAUAACAAAGGAGUUAAAGCUCACGAAUCAAGAGAUCCAACUAAAGAUGAUACUAAAUCUCUGUCGCAAAGUGUAUCUAGUUUGGAUCGAGAUGAUGAAGAAGCUGCGAUUCUGAGACAAGAACAAGAAAUGAAAGCUGAACUUGUUGCUUGGGAACAAGAAGAACGAGAACGUGUGCUUGUAGAGCAAAGAGAGAAAUCUACACCUGAAAAGGUAUUAGAUGUUGUACGUGCGGCAGAAUCGUUAGUAAGCAAAUCAAAUAGUCCUAUUGAUACGAUUGUACCACCAAAGUCACCGGGGGGCACUAAAGAUCUCAAAACUACUACAAUUGUCAUGAGUAAACAUACAUUAGCACCUCAAAAUCCUAAUAAUCAAUCUCCAACUUCAUCUCCAACACCACCACUAACAAAAAUGUCGGUCAGCGAUAAAAAGAAGUUAUUCGAAAGUGCCAUGGAAGAACAUUUGAAACCUUCGCCUAAACCAGAUAAAAUAUUCAGUUUUUUGAGUCAGGAUGAAGUAGAAAAAAUGAGACAAGAAGAAGAAAAAAAAAUUGCAACUUUGACACGAGACGAACUCAAAUCAUGGGCACAACUUGAAGGUCUUGAAGAUUUAGAUAUAAUGGAUGAUCAGGAUAAUGAACGACCUAAUAGCCGAUUGAGCUCGCAAACUUUGAUACCCCUCAUUCAGAAUGUUCCCAGCAGCGUGCGAACAGCAAAAGCAGAACGUCGUUUAAAAGAACGUUUAAUACAAGAGGGCCUUAUUUCGGAUGAGGAUGAGGAACAUUUUUUGAGCCCUGCUGAACAGCGAGCACUUAGAGCAGAAAAACGUGCUGCAUGGCGACAGGCACGUCUUAAAUCUCUUGAGCAGGAUGCGCUCCAGGCGCAAAUAGUAAUCAGAAAGAUGAGUGAAAUAAUGGACACUGCUAAUAAAGAGGAAGAUACGCGUAAUGCAACUGUUACGGUCGAUUCUGGUCCUGAUCAAGAAAAAGCAGUAAUCGAGUUUACUACAUUACGGCCGUCUAGCGCGGAUUUUCCUAAGCUUGCUGUGCGCAGUAAAGUGGGUCCUCCUAAAGAGAUACGCGAAUCUGAAAAAGUAGUGGAUGAGAAAGUCACUCGGCGUACCGAGGAAUACCUUGACGAAGUGACAGGCGAACGUCGUGUACGAACUGUCGAAUACGUCGAGAAGCUCAUUGAGCGUCAGAUUCCCUCGCUUCGAUGAUAUAUUAUGCACCAUCUUGAAUUAUGAAUGUUAUUUCUACUGAUCUUACUAACAACUUCCUGAACUCAUUGGUGGAAACUUUGAGGGAGAAGAUCAUAUCACUGGAAUUAAGUAAUGCAGAA
rnacentral:misc_RNA from 1 species